UUGUGGAGGAGGACGCCGAAGGUGGGGCUAAUGACUGGGGUGAAGUCGUAACAAGGUAGCCGUACCGGAAGGUGCGGCUGGAUCACCUCCUAACAGGGAGACAACAAAAUGUUUAAUAUUAUUAUUUUGUCACCUUAGGUCGAUCGGUAUCUCACGUUUUUAAUUUAUUAAGAACUUCAUUUCCUAAGUUUUUCUAGGUCACACCCAUUAUUUUUCCUGGGCCAUUAGCUCAGGUGGUUAGAGCGCACCCCUGAUAAGGGUGAGGUCCCUGGUUCAAGUCCAGGAUGGCCCAUAUCUCUAUGUUGGGGGUAUAGCUCAGUUGGUAGAGCGCCUGCUUUGCAAGCAGGAUGUCAGCGGUUCGAGUCCGCUUACCUCCACUGAUUACCACCUCUUCCAUAACUGGUAGAAAGGAAAUGUUUUGAGUUGUGAUCAAAUUCUGAAAGAAUCUAGCUUCCUAAUGAAAUCAUUAAGAUGCUGGACUCAUUGAAUUAAUUUCAUUGUUUUCAGAGAACCUUGACAACUGCAUAGAUUAUUUUUAAAGACAAUAAGCAUCUUUAAUGAUGCAGAUUUAUUAUUUGUGCGAAUGCAUUAAUAACAAUUCUAUUAAGCUGAUGCUUCAAUUUUUGAAGUUAUUGGUCAAGCUACAA
rnacentral:misc_RNA from 1 species